rnacentral:RNase_P_RNA from 2 species
AAAGUUUGACAGACAAUCGCUGGCGGCUUCGGCCGCGAGAGGAAAGUCCGGGCUCCAUAGGGCGAUGAUGCUGGAUAACGUCCAGUCAACGCGAGUUGAAGGCUAGUGCCACAGAAAUGGACCGCCGAUGGCUGCUUUGCUGCAUCGCGCUUCGGCGCGGUGUGCGGAGCUUCACAGGCAAGGAUGGAACCGUGGUGUAAGAGACCACGAGGAGCCAUGGUGACAUGGUUCCUGGUAAACCCCAUCUGGAGCAAGACCUAAUGGAACGCUAGCUCCCUUGAGGAGCAGCCUCGGCCCGGGGCGCGUUCGGGUUGGUCGCUGGAGCCGGUCAGCAAUGGCCGGCCUAGAUAGAUGAUUGUCGCUUCCAUGGUGGCAGGGUGGCCCCCGUUAUGACCACUGGCAGCACAGAACCCGGCUUACGGCAAGCUUUCUUU